rnacentral:rRNA from 1 species
GAUGAACGCUAGCUACAGGCUUAACACAUGCAAGUCGAGGGCAGCACAGUGUAGCAAUACACGGGUGGCGACCGGCGCACGGGUGCGUAACGCGUACUCCAACCUUCCCGUUACUCUUGGAUAGCCUUCCGAAAGGGAGAUUAAUACAAGAUGGUAUUCAAAUUUCGCAUGUUAUUUGAAUUAAAGAUUUAUCGGUAACGGAUGGGGGAUGCGUGACAUUAGGUAGAUGGCGGGGUAACGGCCACCAUGCCCACGAUGCCUAGGGGGUUCUGAGAGGAAGGUCCCCCACACUGGAACUGAGACACGGUCCAGACUCCUACGGGAGGCAGCAGUGAGGAAUAUUGGUCAAUGGUCGGAAGACUGAACCAGCCAAGUAGCGUGAAGGAUGAAGGUUCUAUGGAUUGUAAACUUCUUUUAUACGGGAAUAAAACCACCUACGUGUAGGAGCUUGUAUGUACCGUAUGAAUAAGCAUCGGCUAACUCCGUG